UAUUGUUCAGCAGUUUGGUCAGCCUUGUGUGUUUUUAAAGUGCUAUAUAAAUAAACAAUGAUGAUGAUGAUGAACAUAGUAACGUGUGUUGGGUUGCUCAGUCUUCAGACUCACUGUCAGACUGAUUAGACAGUGAGUCUGAAGGUGAGAGUCCUCACUGCCCACGCCUGUCUUUGGGUCUGACCAACACCGUUUCCUGUGUGUCAUUCCCCCCUCGCCUUCCCCCCAUCCGUCCUGUCUGCACUGACCUCUCCAAUAAAGACAAAAGGCCUCAUUUUCUGAAACUCUUCCUAUCCCAUCACCUUGCGAAGAAUCACUUCACCAUGUUGAUUAAUAAGGACGGUGGGAAUGGUUUGAAGUCUCGUCACAGAAAAUGUGCCAAAGGCAAAGAAUCUGAGCUUGAAAUAAAAUGAAAUGAAAGAUCAGCCCCACACAGGGGUUAAAUUCAGAUGGAAACUCUUAUCACACAAAGAGAACAAGCGAAUAAAUAUAUCUGAGUGUGGCCCCUCGACUGUCACAGUGUAGCUGACAUUUGAUCUUAUCAUGUGUUAAAGCUAUUUUAAUUACUGAAGAGAACCAGUGUCAAACUCAGCCCAAGUAUGGUUGUACGUUAAUCCUUAAAGCAACAACGUUUUUAAAGUUGCAGCGUCAUUUUUACACCACACCUAAAAUCCCACUAAUCGUCCGGGCUCUUCACCCUCUGACCACACGCUGGGGUAUCUAACACCACAUGACCCAAAUGGAAACUAUGUCAGCUGAAAGAAACCCAUCGAAAUGUGCAACACUUAAAACUUUGCCUGAUUGGAGCAUGGCUUCAAAUACAGCCCUGAAAACAGACAGGCGGUCGUUGGCAUUUCGUUACAAAGUUUCCUUGUUCAAAACUUCUGCUUCAUUAUAACAACCGAGUGACUGGGAUCUACGAGCUGAGCUUGUGUAAGAUGUCUGACACUGGAAGCUCAGGUGAGCGGCCAUGAAACAUGUUUAAAGAACGGCAGCUGUUUUAUCAUAAUUCUGUGGAGAGCUUCAUCCUAAUGAGGGCUCAUGUCCUGAGCAGGGAUGCAGAGGAGGAGGAGGAAGGUGCUGGACACAUCAGUGGCUUAUGUGCGUGGAGAGGAGAACCUGGCCGGCUGGAGGCCCAGAGGAGAUAGCCUCAUCCUAGAGCACCAGUGGGAGCUGGAGAAGAUGGAGCAGCUGCAGGAGGUGGAAAAGACCCGUCACCUUCUGGGAGAGGCGGCUCCCGUGGGAACAGCUCCCACCACCAAGUCCCUGAGUGAGUCUCUGUCCCCCAGCGUGAGCUCCGGCACUCUGUCCACGUCCACCUCCGUCUCCUCGCAGAUCUCCAGCACCACCUUUGAAAGCGUGAGAAGGAGCUGGCCACCAAGUGCCUGCGCCUUCUGACACACACCUUCAAUACUGAAUACAAGCAGCUGGUGAACAGCAUCAGUGACUGCAAGAUCUGUUGUGUCCAAGAAGGGUUUUCUAAGCUUCGUGGAGCCUCGCUCUAACUCAUGGGGGAAGCAUUUUGUGGUUGUUCGCCGGCCCUACGACUUCAUCUACAACAGCGACCAGGACCCCGUGGAGCGAGGCGUCCUCAACCUCUCCACAGCACAGGUGGAAUACAGCGAAGACCAGCAGGCCAUGCUUAAGACGCCCAACACAUUUGCAGUGUGCACAAAACAUGGAGGCAUCCUCCUGCAGGCCACCAACGAGAACGACAUGAACGACUGGCUGUACGCUUUUAAUCCUCUGCUAGCAGGAACGAUAAGGCCCUGCCAGUACUCUCGCUCCAGCAUUUUGGAUCAGCUGAAGGCUUUUGAGGGAGUUUUUAUGACAUCUGAAAAUAGCAAAUUACAGUUUCCCAGGACUUGCAUGAACAGUUCAACAGCAAAGCCCCAAAACCAAACAGGCUCAUCAGGGAUUUGAACCCAGGACCGCUUACACCCAAAGUGAAAAGGGAAAAGCUUCCUUAGGCAUUUUCCAGGUCACAGCAGAGGUGUGCUUGCAGGCGGAGGAGGAGUGAGGUGCUGAGGCUGCUCCUGCUGCCCUCCAGCGAAGCCCAGGUGGCUGCUC